CUGCUGACCACAUGAUCUCCAGGGUGCCGGGGGAGGCCAGGGAGAUGAACACAUCCUCGGGACAACAGGGUACUGGGGACGGACAGAGAGAGAGAGAGAGGGAGAGAGUGGUGUAGUUGAGCACGGGGCCCGGUGGGCUGGAUCCAGCCAGGCUGAAGGCGAACACAGUCAUCAGGUGAUGAACUCCUCAGGAGCAGAAGGGAUGCUGGGUCCUCCCUCGUUGAUGGCUGUCACUGUGACGGUGUGUCUCUGGCCACACCCCACGGGGGCCAGUGUGCAGGCGCCGGUGGUAGAGGUACAGUUCAGCCCCUCUGAGCUGAAGGCCAGGUACUCCCCUGCCCCCUGAGAUGGAGCCCAGGACACCGACAGACCGGCCUCAGAGCCCACCAUCCUCACCUCCAACUCAGUGAGCACAGGGAUGCAUGGACCUGGAGGGAGGAGAGAGAAACAACAUGAGCACACACACAAUUAGACGGUGAAGUCGUCUCCCUGUCUUUUCUCGGGGUCCCAGGCGUUGCCCUUGAUGCAAUAGGUUGUCCCAGCCUCCAGGCCAGAGAAGGUCACGCUGGUGUCAGUGGUGUUGAGCUUCACCCUGCUGUCUGAGCCCUCCAUGAUGAUGCUAAUGGUGUACAGGAAAACGUGGUCCACAGGCUCCCACUCCACCACAAUGGUGUCAUUGCUGGGAGAGGUGGAGUUGAGCUUGGGCGCAGCAACCACUUUAGGAGAGAGUCAGCAAUGAGACAUGUUAUGUAGAGUGUGUAUUUGUUUGUCUGUGUUGGGGGUGUUCAUGGUUUGCCUUUUAAUUGUGUGAUAUCAUUCAGAAAGCUCUAAAGUGUAUUUUCUGUUCUGUGGGAUCACUUUACAAUGUAUUUCUACAUGACUGAGAUUUGAGACGAUUAACAUUCUCUCCCUCUCCUCUGCCUUCUAAAGAAGGUCAAACCACAACACAAUAGGAUGAAACUGCUGGUGGCUUGUUUUGGUACAUGAAGAUAUCCGAUAGGCUGACUAACUCAGGUCCUAUUCCCAGGGUAACCAACGCAGUGUUCUCAGUUGUCAACCCAGUUAGGUUUAUUCUUUGUGUAUGGAGAGGGGUCAGAUAUAAUUACAGCGGAUACCUCCCUCCUCAGGGCAGCAAGAUCAUCUCACUAAUAGAGGAAAGUACCGGAUUUGCAAUACCUCAUCUGAAAUCAAGUUUUUAAGGUCAGGUAUGUAGCUACAAUCCUCUUCCUGGCUUUGGCUCAUUUACGUCAGCAAAGAGAUCGAGUGACUUAUGGUGGGGGCACUGGAGAUAAAGGUUGUUACUGUUUUCCCUAUCAAUGACUAAUUUCUUUAUACCAGGCUUUCAUACUCUUGUGUUUUUUUUUCUUUCCCCCAACAGACGGUGAAUGUGAAUGUGAGAUACAAGGGACAAUACCUGUCUUUGCUACCACAGGGAGGGAAGGCUGGCUCCUGCCUCCGCUGUUGAUGGACAUGACACUGAGAGUGUAGUCGGUGUAGGCCUGAAGGUUGAGCACGGUCCCAGGGGAAGAGGGCACCUCGGUUUCGUAGAAGAAGGACAUGUCGGCGGUCUCGGCACGCAGGAUGUAGGAAGUGGCACCGGACACCUGAGUGAACUCCACGGUCAUGCUCUCACUCUGUUUUGAUGUUGCCAUGUUGAUGGUGGGCACCUCAGAAGCUACAGAAGGAGAAAAAAACAAGAAGAGGGAAUUGUUGAAACUCACCUCUGAUGAGAGAGAAAAACAGAACUGGCCCUGGAGCGGUGAUUAAUGACAGAAUGUUACGAGAUCACAACAUAAUGUAUAGCCUAUUGUUUCACCAUCAUCUCCUUAGGGUCACAUAGUAGACACUGAUUUUACCGGUGGUCU